GCCGGCAGCACACAUCCGGUUUCCGGAUACGGUUUCCUGAUCAGGAAUUCAGAUUCUGGAUUCCGUGUCACUAGCGCACACAUUCGUUUUUUUUCAUUCUGAAUUUACAUGGCCAUAUAGAUUUGUUAAUUGUUUAAUAAACUGGAUUUCAUCUCUCAAAAAAAUAUAUAGUAUAUACAAAAAUAAAAACAAAUAUAAAAAAGCAAGUGACAAGCGGGCUCUGAUACACGUCCAUUCGGAACAGGGCUACCUUGAUUCAGAAUGAAAAUUUCCGUAUGUGUGCGGCGGUCCAACCAAAUUGUUCGCGAGCGCUGCGUUCGGAAUGACGUCAUCAGGUUUUAUUCCGUUCUGAGUACCAGAACGCACGGAGAAAAUUUUAAACCGGAUGUCAGGUUUUUUUCCGUCCGGAAAAAGUAAGAACGUGUGCGCUCUUGUGAACA